UGAGUACAUUAAUGUGUGAAAUGUUCUCUUUUAUAUGUAUUGUGUUGAAUUGUAGUAUUGGCUAAAUAUUUGUGUAAUCUGAUAUCUAGUAAUCUAUAUGACUGUAUUUAUAAUUGAUAUGACUGUAUAAUCUAUAUAUGGGUAAUCUAUAUGACUGUAAUAAUGUUUAUAAUUGUAUUAUUUGUUUAUGACUGUAAUCUAUAUGACUGAAGAUUGUUUUAAUUUUCGGAACAAAAUAUUCCAAAUUAAUAUAUAUUUUACAGUUAUGAGUACCAAGUAGAAGGAAUGUUGUUAUCAAUUCGGAUCUUAAUCUUUCUAAAUUCAAAAUUAAUAAUUGUUUCAAGUGUUUGUGUUUAGUUUCAAUGUGGAAAUUAGUGCUGCUGUAAGUGCUGCUAUAUCUCCUGCUUCCUGAUGGAUUGGACGAUGAGUUGAGUGUAGAAGGAAUGACAGAGAACAUAGAUCUCUCAACUGUUGAAGAAAAUCAAAUUACAAGCAAUUUGCCUGAAAAUAAAUCGUCGCCGCAAAAAGAAAACUUGAUGCCAGCAAAGAAAGUCAAAACGUAUCACAGCCGAAAAAGAUAACACUGAACCGUAAUACAUCCAUUAGCGCACACUCUGAAAAAGAAAAUCAACAUCAAACUGAAAAACAGUCAGAAGAGAAAGACUCAACUGAACCUGAGAAAAAAAUUGUCAAAAUCUCAAGUUUUUCUGUAAAAGAGAGAUUGGAACUGAGAGCUCAAAAAUUUGGUGUGCCAUUGUCAGAAGCCGCAAAAAAAGAAGCUAGAGCUGCAAGAUUUGGUAUAAGUGCAAGUCAGCCGACUAAUCAGGUUGCAUCAACUGAAGUUUUGAAAAAACGAGCAGAAAGGUUUGGUGCAACGGUCUCCUCUCAAUUACAAAAGACCGAACUAAACGACAAAAAGAAAUCAAGAGCAGAGCGAUUUGGACUGACCGGCAGCACUCCUUCAGCCACCGACAAGGCCAAUCUAGACGAAAAAAUGAAAUUGAGAGCGGAAAGGUUCAAAAUAAAUAAUGUAUAAGAAAUGUGACUUUUCAAUUAACAAAAAUACGAAAAAUACCUGCAGAAAUUCAUUCAAAGGUUUAUAGUAUAAAUAAUUUCAUAAUGUUUUAUAAAAAUCCCUUCAAAUAAGCAGGCUAAUUAUAAAAAAUAUUACACAAGUAUUCAAAUUUAAAA